GAUGAACGCUGGCGGCGUGCCUAAUACAUGCAAGUCGAGCGAACGGACGAGAAGCUUGCUUCUCUGAUGUUAGCGGCGGACGGGUGAGUAACACGUGGAUAACCUACCUAUAAGACUGGGAUAACUUCGGGAAACCGGAGCUAAUACCGGAUAAUAUUUUGAACCGCAUGGUUCAAAAAUGAAAGACGGUCUUGCUGUCACUUAUAGAUGGAUCCGCGCUGCAUUAGCUAGUUGGUAAGGUAACGGCUUACCAAGGCAACGAUGCAUAGCCGACCUGAGAGGGUGAUCGGCCACACUGGAACUGAGACACGGUCCAGACUCCUACGGGAGGCAGCAGUAGGGAAUCUUCCGCAAUGGGCGAAAGCCUGACGGAGCAACGCCGCGUGAGUGAUGAAGGUCUUCGGAUCGUAAAACUCUGUUAUUAGGGAAGAACAUAUGUGUAAGUAACUGUGCACAUCUUGACGGUACCUAAUCAGAAAGCCACGGCUAACUACGUG
rnacentral:rRNA from 1 species